rnacentral:hammerhead_ribozyme from 1 species
GCACUGCUGAGGAGUCCCACAAUAGGACGAAACUACCUUCCAGUGC